GAUGAACGCUGGCGGCGUGCCUAAUACAUGCAAGUCGAACGAGUUCUCGUUGAUGAUCGGUGCUUGCACCGAGAUUCAACAUGGAACGAGUGGCGGACGGGUGAGUAACACGUGGGUAACCUGCCCUUAAGUGGGGGAUAACAUUUGGAAACAGAUGCUAAUACCGCAUAGAUCCAAGAACCGCAUGGUUCUUGGCUGAAAGAUGGCGUAAGCUAUCGCUUUUGGAUGGACCCGCGGCGUAUUAGCUAGUUGGUGAGGUAAUGGCUCACCAAGGCGAUGAUACGUAGCCGAACUGAGAGGUUGAUCGGCCACAUUGGGACUGAGACACGGCCCAAACUCCUACGGGAGGCAGCAGUAGGGAAUCUUCCACAAUGGACGCAAGUCUGAUGGAGCAACGCCGCGUGAGUGAAGAAGGCUUUCGGGUCGUAAAACUCUGUUGUUGGAGAAGAAUGGUCGGCAGAGUAACUGUUGUCGGCGUGACGGUAUCCAACCAGAAAGCCACGGCUAACUACGUGCCAGCAGCCGCGGUAAUACGUAGGUGGCAAGCGUUAUCCGGAUUUAUUGGGCGUAAAGCGAGCGCAGGCGGUUUUUUAAGUCUGAUGUGAAAGCCCUCGGCUUAACCGAGGAAGCGCAUCGGAAACUGGGAAACUUGAGUGCAGAAGAGGACAGUGGAACUCCAUGUGUAGCGGUGAAAUGCGUAGAUAUAUGGAAGAACACCAGUGGCGAAGGCGGCUGUCUGGUCUGUAACUGACGCUGAGGCUCGAAAGCAUGGGUAGCGAACAGGAUUAGAUACCCUGGUAGUCCAUGCCGUAAACGAUGAAUGCUAGGUGUUGGAGGGUUUCCGCCCUUCAGUGCCGCAGCUAACGCAUUAAGCAUUCCGCCUGGGGAGUACGACCGCAAGGUUGAAACUCAAAGGAAUUGACGGGGGCCCGCACAAGCGGUGGAGCAUGUGGUUUAAUUCGAAGCAACGCGAAGAACCUUACCAGGUCUUGACAUCUUUUGAUCACCUGAGAGAUCAGGCUUCCCCUUCGGGGGCAAAAUGACAGGUGGUGCAUGGUUGUCGUCAGCUCGUGUCGUGAGAUGUUGGGUUAAGUCCCGCAACGAGCGCAACCCUUAUGACUAGUUGCCAGCAUUUAGUUGGGCACUCUAGUAAGACUGCCGGUGACAAACCGGAGGAAGGUGGGGAUGACGUCAAAUCAUCAUGCCCCUUAUGACCUGGGCUACACACGUGCUACAAUGGAUGGUACAACGAGUUGCGAGACCGCGAGGUCAAGCUAAUCUCUUAAAGCCAUUCUCAGUUCGGACUGUAGGCUGCAACUCGCCUACACGAAGUCGGAAUCGCUAGUAAUCGCGGAUCAGCACGCCGCGGUGAAUACGUUCCCGGGCCUUGUACACACCGCCCGUCACACCAUGAGAGUUUGUAACACCCGAAGCCGGUGGCGUAACCCUUUUAGGGAGCGAGCCGUCUAAGGUGGGACAAAUGAUUAGGGUGAAG
rnacentral:rRNA from 1 species